AAGUCAGACAGCGAGGCAGGGACAUGAGCAGAGCUGGAACAGUACUUUCUUCCCUCAUUUCCCAGAGCUGCUGCAGACAGACAGCACUGUCACUGAACUGUAUAUUUCAAUGUAUAAUUACUCGCUUAUUAGCUGGCUACCUCAUCAUGCCAAGAAAGUUAGCGGGAAUGUAGAGCAAAGGCAUUUCUCCUCUCCCUGUCUUUCAGACCAGAGGAAAAACAACAGAUCAUACAACCUGCUGGGAAUCUCCACCUCCUCCACCCUUUUUAGCCUGGCAGAGGUUUGAUUGAUUUCUCAGUUACAUCUAGUAUGCAGAAGAAAAAGAGCUGAUCAUGCUAGCCUGAUACUAGAGACAGGGACUCUGAUGGCCAUGGCUAUUGCUGCUUCCAGAGUGACGGGCUGGGCACAUGUGCCUGGUGGGUGACCUCACACUGAGCCAUGAAGAUAUUGGGAGCAACCAGCUCUACCACACACCACUGCUCAGUACCUCAUAGAGGCGAAGGAAUAUAACACAGGGUGUCAACCUGACGUAAACCAAAUUACAGCGCCACUGUAGUCAAGGUAAGUCUUGGCUUACUUGCUGUAGAGGUGGCACUUUUUAAAGCUUGAAAACGUAAUGGGUUUCCGGAGAAGUUUCUCCAUGCAGCUUCCCAGGUGGCCACGUUUUCAUGAAGGCUGAAGUGAUUCUUCUUGCCAAAUCAGCCCCUGCAUUCAAACUUCCCCAGGAAAACCAGAUGAGUUUUUUGAAUAACAGCAGAGCAGACUUCCUUAUUAGCAAAGUCAAGCAGGAAAAUUAGUGAAAAUAGUAUAAUUUUUAUACAGACCGAAUCAUUCCUAGAUAACAGAGACAGAAAGAAAUACUGCUGGUCCGACCCCCUGUUCUAAUCAGAGCACAUUGUAAGGAACAACCUUCAACCUUGAUUUCUGAGAAGCCAAUAAUAAACCAUUCAUUUGUAUUUCACGCAGAGCAGCGCCAUAUUCCAUCAGGAUGCACAAACCAGUAUUCUGAAGGAACAAUACACAUUUGGGAUUGGAUUUAUAGCUGUUCAGUAGCCUUCAGAUUUGCAGGUAAACUAUAAUAUCUGACUUGCUGGAAGGUUUCAUGGCAUGUGACACUGGCACUGAAGAAUAAAUGCGUCUGUUUUCCCCCCUCUGAUUUUUCCUGGUCUCUGGCAUCAGGACUGAGGAAGACGGGAGUCAUGUCUCCACCCAGCUUCAGGAGGGACUGGGGCAACCAGCAACAUCCAAGAGACAGGGAGAAGCCGGUGGGAAGCCAGGGCAGGACUGACUCAGGAAUUACUGCGGUGGGCAGAGAAAGGAUCGGGUGGAAAAUGGCCAGUAGAGGGUGUGAAAGAGAGACUCUGGGUCGUCUUGAAGCAUGGAAAGAGAAGCCAGGAAUGCUGGAACGAUGGUGUGGGGGCAAGUGAACAACCAAAACUUGGAGUAAGUCAGCAUGUAAGGUAGCACUGCUGCAGCAUCACUGGGGCAGGGGCUAAUAGUCCCAGGCUGUGCUGGAAUGUGGUUCUGGGCCAUGGGCAGGGUGGGGGCAGGUUUGGGAGGGGAGCCUGGGCAGGGUCCCCAGUAUCUGGCAGCUCUGCCCCUUCUUUCUGCCCAUCCAUCUCUUACUUUUAUCCAUCCCAGCUUUUGGCAACCCCUCACAUGCUUUGCACCCCGCUAGAAUUCCCUUAAGGGAGCUGGAGGGGUUGGAGGAGCUGAUCAAAAGGUAAAGAAGAGGGCAAAAUAUGCCUCCCUCUGCCUAAGGAGCUGCCCUGGGCAUAGCUGGCCUUGGGCAUAACAUGGAGUUUAACCACCUCAGCUGGCAGGGGGUGAGCUCAUCCCUGCUCCAAACAUCUUGUUUGGGUGCAGGAGAUGCAUCACCUGUGUGAGGUGUGUUGUGUUAAGUACUCUUCUUCCUUCACCAUGUCUGGAAAAAGUACCUCUGAGCCCCUGAAAACAGCAGACAUUUUGGUGGAAGAUGGAUAAGAAAGAAUAUUUUGCAGGAACCAAGAGAUGUGCUGUCUCUGCCAAAUGAGCAUCGGCCAAUCAAAACAUUACCAAUAGAGAUUUCUCAUAUUCCCACUUUUUUUUUUUCCUUGCUUGUCUUGGUGGAAUCACAUUUCAUUUUCAAACCGCAGCUCUACAUUUAUCAUCCCUGAUUUAGUAAAUUGCCUCUUGGAGAAGCAGUGUCUAACCUACCUUUAUUUAAGACUUUGCAGGAUAAUGUGUCUGUUGGACUCAGAGAGGCUCACAAAAAAAAGUGGCAGAUGCAGCAAAUGUCUUGAAAUGGAGGGAUCAAAAUCAACCUUUCAAUAAGCCUCUUUUUGUAGUUAAAAUAGAAGGAGGUGAAGAUACCUCUAUAAUAAGAGUUGGCUCAAGGCUUAUCAGCAGGGGUUUGAAAUGAGUCGUGCAGCCCCUACAUCCUAUGAGCAGCCUUUUGCCUCUCACUGCAUCUUUCCCAGUGCCUGAGCUGCGGCCAGCCCCAGUGAGCCCAGCGUGGCUGGGUGGCAUCAUACAGGAGGGAUCCCUACAGUCUCCAAGCAAGAAUGUCAUUAGCAGUCUCUUGAGUGUUGCACCACGGAGGCUGAGGAGCAGCAGCUAUUGGGGACACACAUUGGAGCCACCUCAUUUGCAUUCCUUAGGAAGACCUGCUGGCUUUGGCAAACCCACUUGAACCUAUAGGUUACCCAUUGGCACUGCUGAAUAACCCCCAUUUGCUCUGAGAGACACCACUGCCCCUGACCAACACUGGCUCAACCCCAACAGACAGUGGAAGCAGAAGGACAGUUUUGAGCUCGAGACUGGCCAAAGCACAUAUCCAGUGUACCCCACCACACAAGAAACUCCUGGCUGUUUGGAAAAGAGAAACUGUGUCAGCAGCAGCACCCUGGGUUGCUCUUUUUUCACAAGACUUAUCUGUUGGUUUGAAGCUGGUGCGCGGUUUCCUACCCUCAAAAGACUAUUUUAAGCUCUACAGAGAGCGGUUGUUGAACAAGCUCUGUUAAUACAGCAGAGCAGCAGCAAAUCCAUUUCACCUUCUUAGCUAAUGGCUUCCCCUCCUGGAAAAGAGAUUCCUGAGAAAAGAAACAAACACUGCUGUCUGUGCCAAAACGCCUGACCUGAGCCUGAACACAGCGUGCUGCUCCCCCGGCAUGUGGGAGGGGAAGGGGCACCUAGGGUGAACUGCUCUGCCCUCAAAUACAGGACUGGAGGCUGAGGGCUGUGGUCGAAGAGGUGAGCUGGUGCAGAAUUAUUGCUUUCUGUGCUUUGAUACUUACGGGAAAAAAUAAGGGAAACUUAGCCACUGUCAUGCA